UUCACAAAAAGAGGAGAAAUUUAUUUCCCAAACAUUGUGGGCAAAGUUCUCUGUCUCACGUGUCAUGGAGCUCUUCUGGGGUGGGCGCUGAGCCCCCAUCCGAGCACUGGAGCACAUGGCGAAGGUUUUGUCAUGGUGGUCACUGGGGGCUCCUCUUCUCUUCUGUCUUGUGCUGCUUCCCGUGUUCUCCAAAUCCCACAUCUUCCAUUUCUAGUUUCCUCCUAUUGCGUGACUAAAGUCUCAACUUCACUGACUCCCUAAAAAAGCAUCAUUAAAAGGAACAGAUGAAGAAAGCGCGGUGGGAAAUGGGAGAAUGAAGGAAUCCAAGCAAAAGUGAGAACGAGCGUGAGGAAUAAAAACAGAAGAGUAAGUAGAGAGGAAAGAGCCAAGUGAGAAGCUUGGAGCCUCCACGCAAAUGAGAUGGGUGGAUAGAACUCCACCAAAAGGUUAUUGAACAUGAAGUUCAUCUGUUUUAACUGGUGUGAUUUACUUGACAUAGU